rnacentral:rRNA from 1 species
GACGAACCGUGCGAACGUUGUUCGGAAUCACUGGGCUUAAAGGGCGCGUAGGCGGGCUGUCGCGUCUGGGGUGAAAUCCUCCGGCUCAACCGGGGAAGGGCCUCGGGUACGGACGGCCUCGAGGGGGGUAGGGGCGUGCGGAACUGUGGGUGGAGCGGUGAAAUGCGUUGAUAUCCACAGGAACUCCGGUGGCGAAGGCGGCACGCUGGACCCCAUCUGACGCUGAGGCGCGAAAGCCAGGGGAGCGAACGGG